GCUUCUUGGCCACAAUGGUGUGAGCUGUUCUCCUCUGCCAUGCCCUCCUGCCUUGGACCCAGCAAACCAUGCAAAGGAUUGAGACUACUGAAAUCCCCACUCCACACCCCAGCCCUGGAGUGUCCUAAAACUGAGGAGAGGAAGAGUGAAAGAGACCAUACCUCCUGCCCUCUACAGUCUCCUGAGCAAGGACACACAGAAUACCAGAGGGCACGAAGAAGGCGAUAGACACAACCCCUCCCCCAUCACAUAGGAGCACAGCCUGGUGUGGAACCAGACCAUGGACCCUGGCUGGUGGAAGAGAGCGCGG
rnacentral:lncRNA from 1 species